rnacentral:rRNA from 1 species
UAUCAACGCUGGCGGCGUGCCUCAGACAUGCAAGUCGAACGCGAAAGCUCCCUUCGGGGAGCAAGUAGAGUGGCGCACGGGUGAGUAACACGUAGGUAAUCUACCUUUGGAUGGGGAAUAACAACCGGAAACGGUUGCUAAUACCGCAUAAUGCAGCGGCACCUAAUGGUGACAGUUGUUAAAGCGGGGGAUCGCAAGACCUCGCGUCUGAAGAGGAGCCUGCGGCGGAUUAGCUAGUUGGAAGGGUAACGGCUUACCAAGGCGAUGAUCCGUAGCCGGCCUGAGAGGGCGGUCGGCCACACUGACACUGACAUACGGGUCAGACUCCUACGGGAGGCAGCAGUCGGGAAUUUUGGGCAAUGGGCGAAAGCCUGACCCAGCAACGCCGCGUGAAGGAUGAAAUCCCUCGGGAUGUAAACUUCGCAAGAACGGGAAGAAUAAGUAAGAGUUAAUAUCUCUUACGAUGACGGUACUGUUUGUAAGCUCCGGCUAACUCCGUGCCAGCAGCC